CAGGGGUCUUUGCGUGGGAGGGGUGGUGAAGCCGCCUGGGAGACGCGGGGUCUCUUCACUUCCUGCCCGGUGGAGACGUACGUGGUCCUCCUGCAGUUUACUGUGAAUAAUCCAGCUACACCGAGAAUGGAAAAGCAGAGUCAAGACCUGAUUCUCUCCAAAUGAUGCCCAGAUCUUCAAACAGGCCGAAUCUUUCCAGUCCUGAAAUGGCCUACUUGUGAACAUAGAACUCGCAGAGCUGUCAUCACCAGAGCCAUCCUUUUUGAUGGCAAACUCCAAGUCAAGAUGAGGGAUAGUGAGGUCUGCUAGCUGGGUGAUGUGUCCUAGCUAGAAGGUGGACUGUCAUUCAUUAGUGAUAUUGCACAUCCUGAACCUGGGGACCUUCCCCACCCAGAAACCAGACUUCGAACACUUUGGACAAGACAUGAUACAGAUUUUGUUUCAGAAUGCAUCCACCUGUGUUUGGACUCUGCAAAGAUUCCUAGAAGACUGUGAUAACAGUUGAUGAAAAUAGUUUAAGACCAUAUGUUGCUACAAAAUUGAAGGAUCUUAUACGUAACAACAGUGCUGAGGAGUGUGCACACAAAAAAAAAGCAAAACCCCAAACACUGAUAUAUAGCCCAAUCUUACAUAAAAUUUACAUAAGGACAGGUGAACAACACAUUGACAAUCGUUCCAGAGAGUCUGAUUUAUGGCUGUGAUGACCUUUAUAAAUAUCUCAAAGAAUCCUUAAUCGUUCUAUGAUUCUGUGAAGAGUCAAGAUGUAAUCACUAAUAAGCAUACUCUAAGAAGCGCAGCCAUUUAAUUGUUGGCUGUUAACUGUAACUGGUAUAAUGGUCGCUUCAUGAGGAACUGUUCUCCUAAGGGAAAGGAAAAUUCAUAUUGUGAUAACCAUAUGUAUUGGAGCAACAACAAAAAAAGCUGUCUGGGUCAGUAUGAUCUUCAUCCUCCUGAAGUAGAGCGGUACCAUUUCUUGCCUGGAAUCUGUGGGUUGCCUUGCUAAAGAAAACAUUAGGUGAAGUCCAGCUUCUGCUGCAUGAAGGGCAUGAAAGGAACUUUUCAGAUAAGCUACCCCUUUAGUGUGAUUUCUCUAGAUUUCACCUCUCUCCUUGCUCAGCUGCAGCAGCCUAUUCUGGCUGUGUGAAAUAUUUUUAAGCAAACAGGUGUCUGGCCAAAAUCUCUGGGAAAUAUUAGGAAUCCCUCCAUAGAUCUUUAUGAAAUUUGAGUCAUUGAAUGAGUAAAUGUGCAUUUAAAUUAUUGUUAACAUUUAAAACAAAUAUGAUAAAUACUUAUUGAAAAUCACUAAAAUGUUUGCAGGCAGUCUUUGCUUUCUUUCGUCAGUUCGAUUAAGAAUCUAUGAUUCAAUCAGGCAUGGAUCUUUUCUCGUGUGUCAUGUUUUUGUUCCGCUCUUAUAAGUUCUGUGUUCUUCUGCUGCUGCUCUUGCUCCCCUUUAACAAGCCUGGAAAUAGGUUGCCUAGAAAAUUCAGCAUCAUUUCACACAUUAUCCACUGCAGUGCUGAAUCUAUUUUAUAUUUUUUCUGCAGCUGCAUGAUUAACAGUAAAAUAAUCCAUAUUUCUCUGUGCGUGGAUACAAUAUAGAUAUGCUUACCAGCCCUCUGUGGAGUUAUGAAAAGCCUCCACUUGCCCCUUGUGACCUUGUCAUCACAAAUUGCUUUUAGAUUCCGUGCCAUUUGAACAAGCACAGCAAUUCACUUUCACGUUCCUGCAAAUACCAAGAAAAACAAACAAAGAGUGCUACAGUAUGCAGCAUCUGGGAUCCUUCUCACUUUGACGCGCACUUUUCCUCACUUUCCUUUGAGGAAAAAGUUCAGGGAAUUCCCACUACUGACAAGCAAUAGUUUCUGUUCAAUUGCACUCUCUUGGAAACAUCUGCUCUCCUUGGUCUUACAGAGUGAGCUGAGCUUUGCCAUGUUUGGAGGAGAAGAAUGUAGACGGAUUUGCUCUUAAGUUAUUUCAGUGAACAGUUAAAUGAAGGAGCAGGGGGCUGAGUGGUUAAAACAUCAACUGAAAGCAACCUGCCCAUCAGUGUUUUAGCAUUAUGUUCAACAACAUCUAUAAUAUAUUUAUACUGUACUAUUAGGAAAUUUGAUCCAUGCCAAGGUACCAAACGUACCAAAGCAUCACGUCGUCCUUCUCCAAGGAUGACUGAGCUUGGGCUAAGGCUACUCUUUAGGAAAGGUCUAAGGGUGUUCAGAUUUAGCAGCAGAUAGGUCUUGAUGGCAAGACUGAGCUCUUGUUUAUCUCACUGAAAUAGACUUUUAUCUCCAUGCUGGUGUGGAGUAGCCUAAGGACUUACAAGUUGAUAAGUAUAGUGAUGGACAAAGAGCUGCUUGUGACUCAUACUUGUGCUUUUGUGGCCACAGGUGCAAUUCACAUCUGGGGCAGCAGCAGCACAAGAGUAGCCAUUAGAUAAACCACAGAAUCAUAGAAACGUUUGAGUUGGAAAGGACCUGCUUAUUGUUAUGUGGUGUAGACUCUCCUUUUAUUCUACUUUAAUUGUAUUUCAGAAACCGUUAGUCAUAUUCCAACACUAAAUUUUUCUUAAGUAAAAUUUAUGGGAGCAACAGUUAUAAAAUUUCUCUAUUCAGAAGUUUUUACUAAGGAAUCAUCCUGAAAUUGGAAAAAAAAAGAAAAAAAAAACAUGAAAAUUAGGAAAGAAAAGCUGAGGAUUGCAAAAGAAAGAUGAUUCCCAUUGUCUUAAAGUUACCAAGGACAAACAAUGCUCUACAUUGAUUUUAAAGUGUUGUUUUUUUUUUAAUUUUCCUUGUAUUUUUAGAACUGUCUUCACUGAUUGAAAAAACAUAAUGUAGAAGCCUCUUUAUUUGCAGGAUCUCCUUAAAUUAACUGACUUUAAUUAAUGCAUUAAUUAGUCUUCUUGAGAGGAAAGACUUAAUAGCAGAAAUGUUUCUCUUUGCUCAUGCAACCACACUGGCAACUGUGCAUACUUUCGAGUUCUGCAUGGACACUGCAGACUUUCUGGAGCUGAGUCAGGGAUCAGCACUGUUCUCCACUGUCUAGUGGAGACAUGAACCAUUGUUCUUUCAUCUAGGAAAAGCAUGAUGUUGCUUCUGCUACUCUUCCUGUGCAUCUCUCUAGAUCAAUUUAUUCUGUGUGCACGGAGUCUGACAUCAGGGACUGAUCCUUCCCGUUUUCCUCUCCUGGCUUAGAACAUUCAUGGUCUCCUCCUGUGGUUAUACAUUCCUGACUCAGCCUAAACUCUUCUGAACUCUGACUGUUCAGCAAACAGAGGUUGUACAAAAGGAGGAGUUUCAACCCAGAUUUCAUUGGCUGAGAGAAGCAGCCACAGGUGCGUCUGCCUCUGCUUUAUGGCAAUGAACUGAAGAUUUUAACUACUCGUAUAAAAUGAAGUACUUUCUUUCAUGUCAGUUGUGUUCAACCCUUGGCCCACGGGCUGCAUGUGGCCCUAAACAUCUAGUAAUAUGUCCCCACAAGAAUCUAAACUUUUAACAUUGUCAUGUGAUUUUUAGUGACAUUUUUCAUGAGUCGAGUGCACAUUCAUUACACGUGCUUAUGCCACUUGCUAAGUAAAACACAGUGACUACCGACAAUAAUAUUUCAACUUACCUGCAGGUGUGUGUAUAUAUGAAGACACGUGCAGACUUGUAGGUUUUCUUAUUUAAUUAUUUAAUAAUUGCACACAUUAUAUGUCUACCUAUUCUCUUUUUCUGAGAAUUUCUAAAUUUCCUGAAUUGUGAAUUUAGCAGCCAUGAAUUGUGAAUUUAGCAGCCAUUUUUUUUGCA